rnacentral:lncRNA from 1 species
UAUUAGCCAAAACCUCCUUUUUCUUCUACAGCCAUAUAUUUGAAGUCUGGAGCCAGUCAUUGAUGUCAUAAUCCAGUCUGUGGGUUCGUACCAUAUACCUCUUCCCUCUGGCCUCAUUUUCUGCUGGCUCCGGCUUAUCUUCAAUCAGCCAAGAGCCAAGCUUGUCCUUGUCCUUCUCUCCCCUGUCAACAGUGGGUUUUAUACUGAUGUGGAUUGCUACAUUCUACUCCUGCACUUGACCUUGGUCCCCAGAACCUCCACCUGGCUCAGAGCAUGGGAUCAGCCACUUGCCAAGCAUGGUUGUUCAGACUCUACCCCUCUGUGAGAUCAAGUUAUCAACAUAUGCUCUCAGGACCACUGUAUAAUUGUAUAGAAAAACAACACAAUAGAAAGCAGCGAGCAAUUCCAAAUCCUAGAAGUUUCCAACCAGAUGUUUAUUUGGAAAAAGAAACUAUCUGUAUUUACAUUAAGUGAACAGAAAGAGAUGCAU